UUUGUAGGGCCUUACAGAAAGAUAUGUCCCCGAGAACAGGACAGUGUUUGUAGGUAACCAACCACCCCCUGUACAAGAUGAAGCCUACAUUCCACAAGAUUUUCCUGAUAAUACUGUCGUCUCCUCAAAGUAUACAGCAAUCAACUUCUUCCCUAAAAAUCUAUUUGAGCAGUUCAGGAGAAUUGCGAACUUCUACUUUCUCUGUGUUGCAGUGUUACAGUUAGCCAUUGAUACGCCAGUAAGUCCUUGGACAAGCAUAUUGCCUCUCAUCUUUGUAGUAGGGGUUUCCAUGAUCAAACAGGGUUACGAGGAUUGGUUGCGUCACAAAGCGGACAAUGAGGUCAACAAAAGAGCGACCCUCGUCGUACGAGAUGGAGUGAUAGAGAAAAUCAAAUCAAGGGAUGUUCGGGUCGGUGAUAUUGUCAAAGUCCAAAAUAACGAUGAGAUACCGUGUGACAUGGUCUGCUUAUCAUCGGUCCGAGAAGAUGGUGACUGUCAUGUGACCACUGCCAAUUUAGAUGGUGAAACUAAUCUCAAGAUAUUCAGGUCAUUACCGGACACUGCCAUUCUACAAACAGAGGAGAGUCUGAAUUCAUUGUCCGCCGUCGUGGAGUGCCAGCAACCUAUCUUAGAUUUAUACAAAUUUGUUGGCAGAAUGACUUUAUACCAAAACACCAAUGUGCCUAAUAAUAACAGCAAUCCUACCCAAAAGCCUUUAACUGCAGAAAAUGUCUUAUUACGUGGAUGUCGCCUUAAAAAUACAGAAUAUAUUUAUGGUUGUGCAGUGUACACAGGAGAGGAAACCAAGAUGGCCUUAAAUUCUAAAACCAAAGGACAAAAAUUCUCCUGUAUAGAAACAGUGAUGAACUAUUAUCUUCUAUUCAUGCUUGGAGUAUUAAUCUUUGAGGUAUCAAUAUGUACGGGAUUGAAGUAUUUCUACAAUGCAAGGUCUUACGUCCCGUUCUCAUGGUACUUCUAUGAAGUAGCCAAAGCAGACUAUGAGAUAUCGUUCUUAGGAGUGAUGGAGGACUUUCUAUCCUUCCUUGUGCUUUAUAAUUACAUCAUUCCAAUUUCAUUGUAUGUGACAAUAGAAAUGCAGAAGUUUCUUGGAUCCAUGUUCUUAGGAUAUGACAUAGAGAUGUAUGAUGAGAAAACCAACGAGCGUGCUGUCGCCAACACGUCUGAUCUGAAUGAAGAGUUGGGCCAGGUGGAGUACAUGUUUACAGACAAGACCGGUACCCUCACUGAGAACGAGAUGAAGUUCAGACAGUGCUCAAUCAACGGGGUCAAGUACACUGAGGUCAAAGGUCAACUUCAGCCCCAGAAAGAAAACGAAGGGAAUGAGAGUGACAAAGAUGAGUUCUUGCUGACCAUGGCACUCUGUCAUACCGUCCAUGUCCAUAAAGAACCUGCAUCAGCAAAGAAGGUGAUGAACGGUAACGUGGGUGAGGCACAUAUGCUGCAGUACGAAGCAUCUUCACCAGAUGAAAAGGCUCUAGUGGAGGCAGCAAGCCAGUAUGGUACAACGUUCCUAGGAGGCACCCAGGAGUACCUAGACGUCAAACACAAAGGACAGACGCUUCGAUACCAGAUACUUAACACCCUGGAGUUUGACCCGACCCGGAAGUGCAUGAGUAUCAUUCUAAAAACGCCUUCAGGAGAAAACCUGCUUCUAUGCAAAGGGGCGGAGUCAUCCAUCUUGAGGAAGAGUAUCAGCGGAAAGAAAAGUGAAACCGAUCAACACGUUAGCGACUACGCCAUGGAGGGUCUAAGAACAUUAUGCUUUGGUAGAAGGAAACUCAGCGACGAUACGUAUGCAACGAUGGAGGAGAAAUUGAGACUAGCUUCUACGGCUCUGGAUGACAGAGAGGAGAAGGUGUCUGAAGCAUAUGACAUGAUAGAACAAGACCUACACCUGAUCGGAGCUACUGGGGUUGAAGAUCGAUUACAAGAUCAGGUAGCUGAGACUAUGGCGGCUCUCAGGGAAGCAGGCAUUAAGAUUUGGGUUCUAACGGGAGACAAACAAGAGACAGCGGUCAACAUCAGUCAUUCCUGCGGUCACUUCAAGGAUGGAGUGGUUGAACUCUUACUGGUCAAGCAUGAACUUGAAACAACCUGUGUCCAGACACUCAAUAGGCUUGCAGAACAAAUGAAGCUAGAUCCUCAGAAGCGAUAUGCGCUGGUGGUAGACGGACCCAGUCUGGCCCUGGCCAUGAAACAUUACCAAAUGGAGUUUAGGAAUCUCUGCUUAGAUUGUGAAGCUGUACUCUGUUGCAGAAUGUCACCUUUCCAGAAAGCACAGGUUGUAAAACUAGUGAAGGAAUCUCCCACCAAACCUUCAACCAUGGCUAUCGGUGAUGGUGCUAACGAUGUUAGUAUGAUCCAAGAAGCUCAUCUGGGUCUGGGAAUUAUGGGUAAGGAGGGCCGACAAGCGGUACGAUGCAGUGACUAUGCUUUCUCUCGUUUCAAAUUUCUCCUCCGAAUUCUUCUCGUCCAUGGCCAGUGGUACUACCAUAGAAUAGGAAUUACCGUCCAGUACUUCUUCUACAAAAACUUUGCUUUCAUCACCUGUCAGUUCUACUUUGCUUUCUUCUCCGAGAUGUCACAACAGCCCAUGUUUGACAGCAUGUAUCUAACAUUAUUUAACAUCACCUUCUGUGCGUUACCAAUCCUACUCUUUGGCAUCUUUGAGCAACAUCUAUCGGCCAAGAUGCUCCUAAAGAAUCCACAGCUCUAUAAAGAUAACCAACGUAAUGCCUACUUUAAGAUGUGGAAGAAUUGCUACUGGGUAAUAUUAGGAAUCUAUCAAUCUAUCGUCUUUUUCUUUGGAGCUAUGUUUCUCAUCAAGGACGAUGUUUCUCUUAUGCAGAGUAUGAAGAACUAUGGUCUUUGGUCAUUUGGUACUUUAGUCACAACUGGAUGUGUGCUUGUUGUCAAUUUUAAGCUUUGUGUAGAGAUAUGCAACUGGGACGGCUUUCAGAUAGCUGGUAUGAUCAUUCAACUCCUAGGCUACCCAGUUCAAGUAGCGCUUUAUUCAGGAUUAUUAUGGCAUGAUAUAGUUUCAAUAUCAUUAUUUGACAGUACCGGUCUAUACUGGGUAUUCUUCGAGGCCCAUAAUAGCUGGACCGUAUGGUUCUGGAUCCUGGGCGUUAUUGUAGCUUGCUUUCUUCCGGAUUACAUCUUCAAGACCACGUGUUACUACUUCUUCCCCAGUAGAGCGGUGAUUGCUAGGAAAUAUGAUGAUGCAUGCUUGGCUUGCAUGCGAUGGCGUCGGCGUCACUCUAGUCGACUUGAGGACAGUUCCGAUGCCGACAUUACACGCAGUAAUGCAAAUCUAGUUGUCCAUGGCAUGUUUGAAGACACAGAGUUAUAAAGAAAGCUCCAUCAUUGAUCCCUGUACAUACAAGACCAUCUCAAAUACUCCAGAAACGCAGCAACAGCACACAACCUCUUCUGCUAACUUGAUCUGGCAAGAGUCAUCAAACAAGACAGCUUACCACAAUCCUAGCAUCGAAAUGGAGGACGGGUUGCCUCUAACGACCUACAGGAGAACGACCAGCUCCCAGAAGGCUAACGGCAACAUGGAUUAGCAAUCAGCAUCCCCCACCGAGCAACAUCAGCACCAUUGCCUAUUGCAAAGCAACAAAUCAACCAGGCAACAAGCGUGGUGAGGGAUGAUCACUGGCGAUGAUGAAUAUAGAUAUGAUGGUGAGAGACUAACUUGCAUGCAACAUUCGUCACUCGGCAGCAUCAGCCACAUUUUCACCUCGCAAUGAAUUAACGACCAGCGUGGUAACAGGAGAUCGUCAAUGGCUGUGAUGGUCAGCAACAUUGGAUUCACAAUCAACAUUCCUCACCAGGCAAUAUCAUUCAUCAAGAAGCAACAAGCUUGGUAAGGGAUGGUUAUUUGGGAUCAUCAACAGCUGUGACGGUCAGCAACAUUUGAUUCACAAUCAACAUUCCUCACCAGGCAAUAUCAUUCAUCAAGAAGCAACAAGCUUGGUAAGGGAUGGUUAUUUGGGAUCAUCAACAGCUGUGACGGUCAGCAACAUUUGAUUUACAAUCAACAUUCCUCACCAGGCAAUAUCAUUCAUCAAGAAGCAACAAGCUUGGUAAGGGAUGGUUAUUUGGGAUCAUCAACAGCUGUGACGGUCAGCAACAUUUGAUUUACAAUCAACAUUCCUCACCAGGCAAUAUCAUUCAUCAAGAAGCAACAAGCUUGGUAAGGGAUGGUUAUUUGGGAUCAUCAACAGCUGUGACGGUCAGCAACAUUUGAUUUACAAUCAACAUUCCUCAACAGGAAUAUCAUUCAUCAAGAAGCAACAAGCUUGGUAAGGGAUGGUUAUUUGGGAUCAUCAACAGCUGUGACGGUCAGCAACAUUUGAUUUACAAUCAACAUUCCUCAACAGGAAUAUCUGCAACACCAUUCAUCAAGAGGCAGCAAAUCAGCAUUGCAACGAGCGUGGUAAGGGAUGGUUUCUCAUGGUGAUUAAUGGCUGUAAUGGUUAACAACAUGUUGCGCUUAUCUCUUUCUCAAUCACACCACCAGGCAGAUCUUCUACAAAUUUACCGCGGAUAGACAAUUCUUCACCAUCUUGGAAAAGGCAUGUAUAAUUUCUGCUCUUGGUGGUUUGGCUGCUGUAUGAUGUUAAAAAUGAACAUUAAAAAAUUAUACUGGUAAUACCAGUAAUGUCGUAAUUGGAAGUUGUGAAAUAAAAUUGUGAAUGCCAAUGAUUCUUCUUGGUUGUGUGCUGGCUGCUUUAAAAGGAUUCUGAUUCAAAAGAAAUGAAGGAAACUCUUUGCAUGAGGACUACCGACAAUGCGUCAUUGAUGGAUAUAAUAAUAAUAAGGAUAAUGUGAAAUUUGCUUUGUGUUUGAACUCCUGUUAGUUGUGUGCUGGAACUGAAAAUGAAGGAGAAAUUCAUCAUAAUAAUUUUAGAACAGGAGAACUACUUACAAUGGAAUAUUUGAAUUUCUUUGAGAGAACCUUUGCAUUAAAAAGGGAUUUUGCAAUUACAACGGAUUUUACUCCAGCAGCUUUUUUGUGAAUUGUGGGUAGUUGUCAUAUAUCAUUUAUAUCAUCAUUUAUGGACAUGAUGAUAUUGUACAUAAUUAUGGUGUGAUAAUUAUAUUUAGAGCUGCUCUUUGAUUAUGUCUUUCACAUGUUAUGCCUUGGAUGAAAAAUUGAAUAAAAUGCCUAAUGUUUGACCAAAAAUCUAUCUAAUACAAAUAUGUGAUUUAUGAUAUUUACUGUCAAGAAAUGUUUAUUAUGAUCAUAUUUUGCCUUCAAAUGUCAUAUACAUGGACAGAGAAAUGUAAGUGACCAAAAACAUUUCUUUCAAGUUCAGAUAUAUUUUAUUUUCAAUAAGAUUAAUUGCCCAGCAUUUUCCUGUGUACAUUAUAAGAUGUAGUAAAAUGUAGAAAAAAUUUAUGUAUGGCUCUGAAAGAUGUUCCAUACAGCUGUUUGUAGUAUGGUAAGCUAAUUUGUCUGGCUCUUCAAAACCACUGAAACGUUUCCUAAAAUUAAUUUUCAUUCCAGGACUGAAUGAAAGAGCGGAUUCUCAGCUUUAAAUGGGUGAAUCAAUCUAUGGCUUUUGAUUGUCAUAAUCCUCUGUAAAAUACAUAGUCCCAUAUAUAAAGUUUGCUUUUGAGAAAAGCAGAUGUAAAGGUUGUAAUCUAGUAUACCUAAAAAUCUGCAUUUUUAAAAAUAAAUGAUCUUGUUUUUGUAGCCGUGCUAUCAACCCAUGCUUGUACUUCUUACAGUUAUCAAAGUUCAUGAAGGAAAUAAAAAGAACGGCACCCCAAUGUACAGUCAUGAAGUGAGUCCUACAGAAGCAGCUCCAUAGAACAUCCUCAUCGUUU